ACAGGGAUAAAAACGCAACGGAGCUGUUUUUUCAGCUCCCAGAGCCGGUAGGUAGCCCGGCCGUCUGAGCUUUCUCAGGUAAGUAACCCUCCCCUCCGGGUCGUCCGUUCCCUGAUUAUAU
rnacentral:ncRNA from 1 species